rnacentral:pre_miRNA from 1 species
UUAGAGGAUUUAAAGACUCCAACUUGUAUACUCGGAGGAUUUGAAAACUUCAACUUGCAUACUUGAAAAAUUUAAAGACUUCAACU